rnacentral:rRNA from 1 species
GAUGAACGCUGGCGGCGUGCCUAAUACAUGCAAGUCGAGCGAACAGACGAGGAGCUUGCUCCUCUGACGUUAGCGGCGGACGGGUGAGUAACACGUGGAUAACCUACCUAUAAGACUGGGAUAACUUCGGGAAACCGGAGCUAAUACCGGAUAAUAUAUUGAACCGCAUGGUUCAAUAGUGAAAGACGGUUUUGCUGUCACGUAUAGAUGGAUCCGCGCCGCAUUAGCUAGUUGGUAAGGUAACGGCUUACCAAGGCAACGAUGCGUAGCCGACCUGAGAGGGUGAUCAGCCACACUGGAACUGAGACACGGUCCAGACUCCUACGGGAGGCAGCAGUAGGGAAUCUUCCGCAAUGGGCGAAAGCCUGACGGAGCAACGCCGCGUGCGGGAAGAAGGUCUUCGGAUCGUAAAACUCUGUUAUUAGGGAAGAACAAAUGUGUAAUAAACUAUGCACGUCUUGACGGUACCUAAUCAGAAAGCCACGGCUAACUACGUG